UACAGAGGUCCCAAGCGUUGUUCGGAUUCGCUGGGCGUAAAGGGUGCGUAGGUGGUCGGGUAAGUCUGAUGUGAAAUCUCCGAGCUUAACUCGGAAAUGGCAUUGGAUACUAUUCGGCUGGAGGUUUGGAGGGGGGACUGGAAUUCUCGGUGUAGCAGUGAAAUGCGUAGAUAUCGAGAGGAACACCAGUGGCGAAGGCGAGUCCCUGGACAACACCUGACACUGAGGCACGAAAGCUAGGGGAGCAAACAGG
rnacentral:rRNA from 1 species